rnacentral:rRNA from 1 species
UGGGGAAUAUUGGACAAUGGGCGAAAGCCUGAUCCAGCAAUGCCGCGUGUGUGAAGAAGGUCUUCGGAUUGUAAAGCACUUUCGACGGGGACGAUGAUGACGGUACCCGUAGAAGAAGCCACGGCUAACUACGUGCCAG